GUGCUGCUGAGGAGUCCCACAAUAGGACAAAAAGGCCGUCCAGUAC
rnacentral:hammerhead_ribozyme from 1 species